rfam:Musa acuminata subsp. malaccensis Doubled-haploid Pahang (DH-Pahang) genomic chromosome, chr9
AUACUUACCUGGACGGGGUCUAUGGGCGAUCAAGAAGGCUCAUGGCCUAGGUCAGUGGCCUCCAUUGCACUUUGGAGGCGCACUGGCUUACCAUCUCCCCAAGCGGGAGAGUGGACGUCAUAAUUUGUGGUAGUGGGGGGUACGCGCCUGCGCGGCCCCUUU